rnacentral:rRNA from 1 species
UACGUAGGGAGCAAGCGUUGUCCGGAAUCAUUGGGCGUAAAGCGCGCGUAGGCGGCCCGAUAAGUCCGCUGUAAAAGUCAACGGCUCAACUGUUGAAAGCCGGUGGAUACUGUCGGGCUAGAGUACGGAAGAGGCAAGUGGAAUUCCUGGUGUAGCGGUGGAAUGCGCAGAUAUCAGGAAGAACACCAAUGGCGAAAGCAGCUUUCUGGGACGGUACUGACGCUGAGACGCGAAAGCGUGGGGAGCGAACAGG